rnacentral:rRNA from 1 species
AACGAACGUUAGCGGCGCGCCUAAGACAUGCAAGUCGAGCGAGAAAGGGCUUCGGCCCCAGUAAAGCGGCGCACGGGUGAGUAACACGUAGGUCAUCAACCCUCGAGUGGUGGAUAACCCUCCGAGAGGAGGGCUAAUACAGCAUGACGGCAGCAAUGUCCAAAGCGGGCCUCUUCAUGAAAGCUCGCGCUCGAGGAUGAGCCUGCGGCCCAUCAGGUAGUUGGCGGGGUAACGGCCCACCAAGCCAAAGACGGGUAGCUGGUCUGAGAGGAUGAACAGCCACACUGGAACUGAGACACGGUCCAGACUCCUACGGGAGGCAGCAGUCGGGAAUCUUCCGCAAUGGGCGAAAGCCUGACGGAGCGACGCCGCGUGAGCGAUGAAGGCCUUCGGGUUGUAAAGUCCUUUUCCUGGUGAAGAAUGACCGUGGGAGUGGAAAGCCCAUGGGAUGACGUUAGCCAGGGAAUAAGCCCCGGCCAAUUACGUGCCAGCCGCCGCAGUAAAAC